rnacentral:rRNA from 1 species
AUUGAACGCUGGCGGCAGGCCUAACACAUGCAAGUCGAACGAGUGGCGGACGGGUGAGUAAUGUCUGGGAAACUGCCUGAUGGAGGGGGAUAACUACUGGAAACGGUAGCUAAUACCGCAUACCAUCGGAUGUGCCCAGAUGGGAUUAGCUAGUAGGUAGGGUAACAGCUCACCUAGGCGACGAGCCCUAGCUGGUCUGAGAGGAUGACCAUCCAAACUGGAACUGUGACACGGUCCAGACUCCUACGGGAGGGAGCAGUGGGGAUUAUUGCACAAGGGGCGCAAGCAUGAUGCAGCAAUGCCGCGUGUAUGAAGAAGGACUUCGGGUUGUAAAGUACUUUCAGCGGGGAGGCGUUACCCGCUGAAGAAGCACCUGCUAACUCCGUGCCAGCAGACGCGGUAAUUC